rnacentral:rRNA from 1 species
CAGUCGCCGCGGGAAUACGUAGGUGGCAAGCGUUGUCCGGAAUUAUUGGGCGUAAAGGGCUCGCAGGCGGUUUCUUAAGUCUGAUGUGAAAGCCCCCGGCUCAACCGGGGAGGGUCAUUGGAAACUGGGAAACUUGAGUACAGAAGAGGAGAGUGGAAUUCCACGUGUAGCGGUGAAAUGCGUAGAGAUGUGGAGGAACACCAGUGGCGAAGGCGACUCUCUGGUCUGCAACUGACGCUGAGGAGCGAAAGCGUGGGGAGCGAACAGGAUUAGAUACCCCCGUAGUCCCUGUCUCUUAUAC